rnacentral:rRNA from 1 species
CCUACGGGAGGCAGCAGUGGGGAAUAUUGCACAAUGGGGGAAACCCUGAUGCAGCGACGCCGCGUGAGCGAUGAAGUAUUUCGGUAUGUAAAGCUCUAUCGGCAGGGAAGAAAAUGACGGGACCUGACUAAGAAGCCCCGGCUAACUACGUGCCAGCAGCCGCGGUAAUACGUAGGGGGGAAGCGUUAUCCGGAUUUACUGGGUGUAAAGGGAGCGUAGACGGCGGGGCAAGCCAGAUGUGAAAGCCCGGGGCUCAACCCCGGGACUGCAUUUGGAACUAUCAA